UCCCAGGACCUGGAGGAAGAAGAUAAACUUAACCACAGUUGAGCUAAAACACAUUUUGUUCCAGCUAAUUAGCGAGGGACCAGCAGUUCAGCUAAUUAUGAGGCGAAGAAUGGGAAUUCGGCAACUCUGUUGGCCUUUGCCGUAGGAAAACAAAGGGAGCAUCUGUGAGUCCUAGGGAAAGAAAUAGGAGUUAACAGUGACCUAAAACUGGUUUGCCUCAAGUAUCAGCUGAAAAUGUGCAAAAGAGAUUCGGUUCCAUCAUAGGAUGAUCAUGAGAUAGAAUUCCUGAGUAGUCGACACAUAAACUGAUUUUAAAGAGGUACUUAAAAUAAAGAACUUCACAUGCCCUAAGAGUCAAGAGGUUAUCUCUGACUUCCCAUGCUUCAUGUAAGACCAAUCCUCCACCAUCCUCCAGGGCCCCUGUGCAGAAUCCAAGAGAUGGGGAAUGGCAAAGUUGUGUGCUGUGGAUUAGAAGCACUAUUAAUAAGAGAGAACUGAGGUUACAAGGAAAUCUGCUACCCUGAAAUUUGGAAAGACAGACCCAUCUACUGAAAGCAAGCCUAAUCUGCUAAUCUGGAACAAAAGUCCCUGGAGAGCUAAAGUGAUUGAAACACUUGAAUUAGAUGAGGGAACUUGCCUAGUACCUUGUCUGGACAUGCCUGCAAUGGACUGGGGGCCUGCCUGCGCACUAGGAAUUCAUGCCUUACGCAGCGGGGAGAAGUCUGGACAUUUCAACUCAUUCUGUGAG